rnacentral:rRNA from 1 species
GCGCUUUCGGGUGUCGCUGAUGGAUGGACCCGCGGUGCAUUAGCUAGUUGGUGAGGUAACGGCUCACCAAGGCCACGAUGCAUAGCCGACCUGAGAGGGUGAUCGGCCACAUUGGGACUGAGACACGGCCCAAACUCCUACGGGAGGCAGCAGUAGGGAAUCUUCGGCAAUGGACGAAAGUCUGACCGAGCAACGCCGCGUGAGUGAAGAAGGUUUUCGGAUCGUAAAACUCUGUUGUUAGAGAAGAACAAGGAUGAGAGUAACUGUUCAUCCCUUGACGGUAUCUAACCAGAAAGCCACGGCUAACUACGUGCCAGCAGCCGCGGUAAUACGUAGGUGGCAAGCGUUGUCCGGAUUUAUUGGGCGUAAAGCGAGCGCAGGCGGUUUCUUAAGUCUGAUGUGAAAGCCCCCGGCUCAACCGGGGAGGGUCAUUGGAAACUGGGAGACUUGAGUGCAGAAGAGGAGAGUGGAAUUCCAUGUGUAGCGGUGAAAUGCGUAGAUAUAUGGAGGAACACCAGUGGCGAAGGCGGCUCUCUGGUCUGUAACUGACGCUGAGGCUCGAAAGCGUGGGGAGCAAACAGGAUUAGAUACCCUGGUAGUCCACGCCGUAAACGAUGAGUGCUAAGUGUUGGAGGGUUUCCGCCCUUCAGUGCUGCAGCUAACGCAUUAAGCACUCCGCCUGGGGAGUACGACCGCAAGGUUGAAACUCAAAGGAAUUGACGGGGGCCCGCACAAGCGGUGGAGCAUGUGGUUUAAUUCGAAGCAACGCGAAGAACCUUACCAGGUCUUGACAUCCUUUGACCACUCUAGAGAUAGAGCUUCCCCUUCGGGGGCAAAGUGACAGGUGGUGCAUGGUUGUCGUCAGCUCGUGUCGUGAGAUGUUGGGUUAAGUCCCGCAACGAGCGCAACCCUUAUUGUUAGUUGCCAUCAUUCAGUUGGGCACUCUAGCAAGACUGCCGGUGACAAACCGGAGGAAGGUGGGGAUGACGUCAAAUCAUCAUGCCCCUUAUGACCUGGGCUACACACGUGCUACAAUGGGAAGUACAACGAGUUGCGAAGUCGCGAGGCUAAGCUAAUCUCUUAAAGCUUCUCUCAGUUCGGAUUGCAGGCUGCAACUCGCCUGCAUGAAGCCGGAAUCGCUAGUAAUCGCGGAUCAGCACGCCGCGGUGAAUACGUUCCCGGGCCUUGUACACACCGCCCGUCACACCACGAGAGUUUGUAACACCCGAAGUCGGUGAGGUAACCUUUUGGAGCCAGCCGCCUAAGGUGGGAUAGAUGAUUGGGGUGAAGUCGUAACAAGGUAGCCGUAUCGGAAGGUGCGGCUGGAUCACCUCCUUUCUAAGGAA